CACGUAGGGCGCAAGCGUUGUCCGGAAUUAUUGGGCGUAAAGAGCUCGUAGGCGGUCCAUCGCGUCGGGAGUGAAAGCUGGGGCUCAACCCCAGUCCUGCUUUCGAUACGGGUGGACGUAGAGGUAGGCAGGGGAGAACGGAAUCCUGGUGUAGCGGUGAAAUGCGCAGAUAUCAGGAGGAACACCGGUGGCGAAGGCGGGUCUCUGGGCCGAUAUUGACGCUGAGGAGCGAAAGCGUGGGGAGCGAACAGG
rnacentral:rRNA from 1 species